UAGCAGCCAUAAUAAGCCAAUUUGGUAUUGCUGGACCAUUGGAGGAAAAUACCAUUUCUCAAAAUUUAAUUGAAAAAUCAAGAGAUGCUCAUUUGGUGUAUGGUUUAAAGAAAGAUACUAUCGCAGACAGAAUAAGAUAUUUCAAGGAAUCCAUUGAGAGACUCAUAAAAAGUGUGAAAGACAAUAAAAAUAUACGCGAGGUUAUCUUUCUGAAAGGUAUUGGGAGGUGUGAAACUUCAAAUGAUUAUAUCUGGAAUACGCACUAUAAACCUAUACUCGAAGAUAUGAUAAUGAAAUUUAAGGAAGAAGGUAUUCGAUCAACCAUGGUUGUCAAAGAAGAAAUGAAAAACAUUAACCAAGGACAAGAAUUAGAAGAUGAUUCGAAGUUAUUGUCUUCUAGAGUUGAAGGAAGUGCUUGGUAUCCCUCAUGAGGUACCGAUGUGACGGGACUUGGAAGAACAAGACUUAGAGAGGAGGAUUUAUGAUGUUUAGAUCGUGUUGUUACACCAAGAUUAAUAUGUUUUCAUUCAUUAAAAAGAGAAAUGUUUAAUAAAAAUUUUUAAGACA